rnacentral:ncRNA from 4 species
UACGAAGGGGGCUAGCGUUGUUCGGAAUUACUGGGCGUAAAGCGCACGUAGGCGGGUUGUUAAGUCAGGGGUGAAAUCCCGGAGCUCAACUCCGGAACUGCCUUUGAUACUGGCAAUCUAGAGACUGGAAGAGGUUAGUGGAAUUCCCAGUGUAGAGGUGAAAUUCGUAGAUAUUGGGAAGAACACCAGUGGCGAAGGCGGCUAACUGGUCCAGUACUGACGCUGAGGUGCGAAAGCGUGGGGAGCAAACAGG